GACGAACGCUGGCGGCGUGCUUAACACAUGCAAGUCGAACGGAAAGGCCCUGCUUUUGUUGGUUGCUCGAGUGGCGAACGGGUGAGUAACACGUGAGUAGCCUGCCCUUGACUGGGGGAUAACUUCUGGAAACUGGGGCUAAUGCCGGAUAGGAGCUCCUGCUACAUGGUGGGGGUUGGAAAGUUUCGGCGGUUGGGGCUGGACUCGCGGCUUAUCAGCUUGUUGGUGGGGUAGUGGCUUACCACGGCUUUGACGGGUAGCCGGCCUGAGAGGGUGAGCGGCCACAUAUGGCUUUAGAUGAGGCCCAGACUCCUACGGGAGGCAGCAGUGAGGAAUAUUGCACAAUGGGCCGAAGCCAGAUGCAGCAACCCCGCGAGCGGGCUGCCGCCCUUCAGGUUGUAAACCGCUUCCGCCUCUGACAAAGCGUGAGUGACGGUGAUGGGUAAAGAAGCACCCGCUAACUACGUG
rnacentral:rRNA from 1 species